CUGUUUUAUUAUGCUUUGCAGAAAAAAUAGUCUUGUUAAAUUUAAAAAUAUCACUUUUGGCAUUUGCCAAGUGGAUCUUCAUGUUGGAACAGUAAAGUUGGACCUUGUAUCUUAUGGCCAAUGUGGUACUGAUUUGUAAUCCACUGAGGAUGGCAUUUCAGUGGAAAUAGGUUGAUAAAUAGGAUUGAUAAACCUUUCCAUAGUAGUUUUAUCACCUUUCUGGACUCUUUAACAUCUUGUGUGUUCUCUUGAGGUCAUGACAGUCUUCAUGAUCACCUCCUGUCUUCUUCAGGGAGGACUCCUGGAAUUUAACUGUUGGAUCAAGUUCUUGAAACACAUAUUCCUUUUGAAUAUUGUUCCUUUUUUCUGCCCAGACUCUACUAGUUACUCUCUGACAGUGUUUGCUUAGAUCUGGACUGUUGAUACCUAUGCCUGUGGUUCACUGCACAACAGAUCCAGCAGAUCCUCCCAGGGGAGAGCAGCGUUCAGUCUGGGUUGUUUGAGCCGCCUGCACUUGGUCCUUGCAGAGUCCUCCCUGUGUGGAACCCGAUUCAGAAGACGGAGGACAGAACACUUGAGUUAUGUGAUGUGAUCUACAGCUUUAUCAUUACCAUUUGAACUGAGAGAGAAAGGCAUCCUGUAACUUUUCCAGAGGAGCAAGGAAGAAAUUUUCUAAGAAUCCUCUACCACCCAAAUCCUUCAGCGUGAGGGGUGGAUGUAGAUAUCAUUCAGUCAAUGAAUCAACC